rnacentral:rRNA from 1 species
UACGGAGGGAGCUAGCGUUGUUCGGAAUUACUGGGCGUAAAGCGCGCGUAGGCGGCUUUGUAAGUUAGAGGUGAAAGCCCGGAGCUCAACUCCGGAACUGACUUUAAAACUGCAUCGCUUGAAUCCAGGAGAGGUGAGUGGAAUUCCGAGUGUAGAGGUGAAAUUCGUAGAUAUUCGGAAGAACACCAGUGGCGAAGGCGGCUCACUGGACUGGUAUUGACGCUGAGGUGCGAAAGCGUGGGGAGCAAACAGG